GUGCUCACUUCAGCAGCACAUACGCUAAAAUUGGAAUGACACAGGGAAGAUUAGCAUGACCCCUGCACAAGGAUGACAUGAAAAUUCAUGACGUAUUCCAUACUAAA
ensembl:snRNA RNU6-571P RNA, U6 small nuclear 571, pseudogene